GAGUUUGAUCCUGGCUCAGAUUGAACGCUGGCGGCAUGCCUUACACAUGCAAGUCGAACGGCAGCACGGGAGCUUGCUCCUGGUGGCGAGUGGCGAACGGGUGAGUAAUGCAUCGGAACGUAUCCUGGAGUGGGGGAUAACGUAGCGAAAGUUACGCUAAUACCGCAUAUUCUGUGAGCAGGAAAGCGGGGGACCUUCGGGCCUCGCGCUCUUGGAGCGGCCGAUGUCGGAUUAGCUAGUUGGUGAGGUAAAGGCUCACCAAGGCGACGAUCCGUAGCAGGUCUGAGAGGAUGAUCUGCCACACUGGAACUGAGACACGGUCCAGACUCCUACGGGAGGCAGCAGUGGGAAUUUUGGACAAUGGGGGCAACCCUGAUCCAGCCAUGCCGCGUGAGUGAAGAA
rnacentral:rRNA from 1 species